rnacentral:sRNA from 1 species
UUGAAGUGUGGAGAGAAUCCUCUUAGUAACUCAACAUCUGGAAAUCGAGAGAGAUUCC